AGCUAAACACAGUUUCGUAUAAAAUCCAGGGGGUUUUUCCCAGAGAGAAGCAUGCUGGGUAGGGAUUUUCCUGCUAUUUAUAGGAGUCUAGAUGAAAACUGCAUCUUUUUUGUUUUUAUUCGCAUAAAGUAGAGUCUUAUCUUAAUAUUUAAAGAAAAAAAUGUGCAUUCAUUUUUAGAAAAAAAAAAUUGUGAGACUUUUUAAUAGGGGGAGAUAACUCCCAAAACAUCCAGUUUUCACAUGUGCAGAAUUGCAUGAGUCAAUUAGCAGGGGCCAGUUUUGCAUGUCCCUCACCAAGUAACGUCCUGAUAACGUCGUACAUAAAACUGUGUUUUGCACCCUUAAGGAGUAGCAUUUGAUGACAUUUCCCACAUUUAUUUGCCUGGGCCAGUUUUGCAUGUCCCUCACCAAGUAACGUCCUGAUAACGUCGUACAUAAAACUGUGUUUUGCACCCUUAAGG